UUUUAUGGAGAGUUUGAUCCUGGCUCAGGAUGAACGCUGGCGGCGUGCCUAAUACAUGCAAGUCGAGCGAACGGACGAGAAGCUUGCUUCUCUGAUGUUAGCGGCGGACGGGUGAGUAACACGUGGAUAACCUACCUAUAAGACUGGGAUAACUUCGGGAAACCGGAGCUAAUACCGGAUAAUAUUUUGAACCGCAUGGUUCAAAAGUGAAAGACGGUCUUGCUGUCACUUAUAGAUGGAUCCGCGCUGCAUUAGCUAGUUGGUAAGGUAACGGCUUACCAAGGCAACGAUGCAUAGCCGACCUGAGAGGGUGAUCGGCCACACUGGAACUGAGACACGGUCCAGACUCCUACGGGAGGCAGCAGUAGGGAAUCUUCCGCAAUGGGCGAAAGCCUGACGGAGCAACGCCGCGUGAGUGAUGAAGGUCUUCGGAUCGUAAAACUCUGUUAUUAGGGAAGAACAUAUGUGUAAGUAACUGUGCACAUCUUGACGGUACCUAAUCAGAAAGCCACGGCUAACUACGUGCCAGCAGCCGCGGUAAUACGUAGGUGGCAAGCGUUAUCCGGAAUUAUUGGGCGUAAAGCGCGCGUAGGCGGUUUUUUAAGUCUGAUGUGAAAGCCCACGGCUCAACCGUGGAGGGUCAUUGGAAACUGGAAAACUUGAGUGCAGAAGAGGAAAGUGGAAUUCCAUGUGUAGCGGUGAAAUGCGCAGAGAUAUGGAGGAACACCAGUGGCGAAGGCGACUUUCUGGUCUGUAACUGACGCUGAUGUGCGAAAGCGUGGGGAUCAAACAGGAUUAGAUACCCUGGUAGUCCACGCCGUAAACGAUGAGUGCUAAGUGUUAGGGGGUUUCCGCCCCUUAGUGCUGCAGCUAACGCAUUAAGCACUCCGCCUGGGGAGUACGACCGCAAGGUUGAAACUCAAAGGAAUUGACGGGGACCCGCACAAGCGGUGGAGCAUGUGGUUUAAUUCGAAGCAACGCGAAGAACCUUACCAAAUCUUGACAUCCUUUGACAACUCUAGAGAUAGAGCCUUCCCCUUCGGGGGACAAAGUGACAGGUGGUGCAUGGUUGUCGUCAGCUCGUGUCGUGAGAUGUUGGGUUAAGUCCCGCAACGAGCGCAACCCUUAAGCUUAGUUGCCAUCAUUAAGUUGGGCACUCUAAGUUGACUGCCGGUGACAAACCGGAGGAAGGUGGGGAUGACGUCAAAUCAUCAUGCCCCUUAUGAUUUGGGCUACACACGUGCUACAAUGGACAAUACAAAGGGCAGCGAAACCGCGAGGUCAAGCAAAUCCCAUAAAGUUGUUCUCAGUUCGGAUUGUAGUCUGCAACUCGACUACAUGAAGCUGGAAUCGCUAGUAAUCGUAGAUCAGCAUGCUACGGUGAAUACGUUCCCGGGUCUUGUACACACCGCCCGUCACACCACGAGAGUUUGUAACACCCGAAGCCGGUGGAGUAACCUUUUAGGAACUAGCCGUCGAAGGUGGGACAAAUGAUUGGGGUGAAGUCGUAACAAGGUAGCCGUAUCGGAAGGUGCGGCUGGAUCACCUCCUUUCU
rnacentral:rRNA from 1 species